rnacentral:rRNA from 1 species
AUAUUAAAAAUUGUGGCAGUUAAAAAGCUGGUAGUUGAACUUCUGCUCCAUUGUUUUUUCUCCUUGAGGAGUUGAUGCAUUGUGGCUUAUUUCGGUCGUGGUUUUCCUCGUCCGGAUUUUUACUUUGAGAAAAUUAGAGUGCUCAAACCAGGCUUUUCCCUGGAAUAGUUUAGCAGGGAAUAAUGAAGUAGGACUUGGGUUUUAUUUUGUUGGUUUGUGUACCAAAGUAAUGGUUAAUAGGAACAGUUGGGGGCAUUCCUAUUUAACUGUCAAAAGUGAAAUUCUUGGAUUUGUUAAAGACGAACUACUGCGAAAGCAUUUGCCAAGGAUGUUUCCCUUAAUCAAGAACGAAAGUUAGGGGAUCGAAAACCAUCAGAUACCGUCCUAAUCCUAACCAUAAACUAUGCC